GGCAGCAGGAAAAGGAAGCUGAGGGGAAGAAGCUCUGGGGGAAGGGCAGUCCAAACCCUGCAUUGGAGAGUUUGGAAUAGACGGUUGGGUACGCCAGCCAUACCAUAAAACAGGAGCACAUGUUCGUGAGGAACCUUUCUUCUUCUUCUUCUAAAACUGGAGUAAAUAGAAUCUGAAAGUUUGCACUCACGAAGAGUAAUGGGGACUGGGAGUGAAGCCCAAUGGUUAGAACUUGCCUCACAAUGAACGAGGCUUUG